UACGUAGGUGGCAAGCGUUGUCCGGAUUUACUGGGCGUAAAGAGCGCGCAGGCGGCUGAUUAAGUCGAAUGUGAAAGCCCCCGGCUCAACUGGGGAGGGUCAUUCGAUACUGAUCAACUUGAAGGCAGGAGAGAGAAGUGGAAUUCCCGGUGUAGUGGUGAAAUGCGUAGAUAUCGGGAGGAACACCAGUGGCGAAGGCGACUUCCUGGCCUGUUCUUGACGCUGAGGCGCGAAAGCUAGGGGAGCAAACGGG
rnacentral:rRNA from 1 species